rnacentral:tRNA from 1 species
GCUCAGUUGGUUAACUGUCCAACUCUUGAUUUCCACUCAGGUCAUGAUCUCACUGUUUAUGGGUUCGAGCCCCACACUGGGCU